rnacentral:rRNA from 1 species
AGAAUGAACGCUGGCGGCGUGCUUAACACAUGCAAGUCGAACGGAAUCCAAGGAGCUUGCUCUGGAAGAUUUAGUGGCGAACGGGUGAGUAUCACGUGAGCAACCUGCCCCGAAGACUGGGAUAACACCGGGAAACCGCUGCUAAUACCGGAUACCCCCAUCUGGUCACAUGGCCGGAUGAGGAAAUGGAUUCCGCUUCGGGAGGGGCUCGCGGCCUAUCAGCUUGUUGGUGGGUAACGGCCUACCAAGGCUUCGACGGGUAGCUGGUCUGAGAGGACGAUCAGCCACACUGGGACUGAGACACGGCCCAGACUCCUACGGGAGGCAGCAGUAGGGAAUCUUGCGCAAUGGGCGAAAGCCUGACGCAGCAACGCCGCGUGAGGGAUGGAGGCCUUCGGGUUGUAAACCUCUUUCAGCAGGGACGAUUGUGACGGUACCUGCAGAAGAACGCCCCGGCCAACUACGUGCCAGCAGCCGC